CCUCCCACCGUCCUGUCCAUCAUGCUGACCUGGAAACCCAGCCGUCUCCACCUCUGCUGCCGCCACCCCGGCAAGGCUGCCGCACCUCUCGCCUGGAUUUUUGCAAUCUCCUGCUCCCUCGGCCACCUGCUUCCGUCCUCCUCCCAUAGCCCAUUCUCCUGGAGAUCCUGUCAGCUCACAUCCAUCCUCGGCUCCUGCCUCCUUUGGGCAAAAGCCGAAGUACUGGCUCCUUGCUGGCCCGGGAACAUGCCUCCUCAGGGUCUCUGCUCAAACGCUGCCUUAAUGAGGCCCAGCCUGACAACCCGAUUUAAAUCUGCAAACCCUGACAUCCCCCAUCUCCUGUCCCUGCUUUAUUUUUACCUAGUGUGGUUGUUACCGAGUGGCAUACUUUUCGAGGCAAGGUCUUGCUCUGUCACCCAGGCUGGAGUGCAGCG
rnacentral:lncRNA from 10 species